AACGAACGCUGGCGGCAUGCCUAACACAUGCAAGUCGAACGAGACCUUCGUGCCUAGUGGCGCACGUGUGCGUACCGCGUGGGAACCUGCCCUUAGGUUCGGAAUAACUCCCCGUAAGGGGUGCUAAUACCGGAUAAUGUCUUCGGACCAAAGAUUUAUCGCCUUUGGAUGGGCCCGCGUUGGAUUAGCUAGUUGGUAGGGUAAAAGCCUACCAAGGCGAGGAUCCAUAGCUGGUCUGAGAGGAUGAUCAGCCACACUGGGACUGAGACACGGCCCAGACUCCUACGGGAGGCAGCAGUGGGGAAUAUUGGACAAGGGGCGAAAGCCUGAUACAGCAAUGCCGCGUGAGUGAUGAAGGCCUUAGGGUUGUAAAGCUCUUUUACCCGGGAUGAUAAUGACAGUACCGGGAGAAGAAGCACCGGCUAACUCCGUG
rnacentral:rRNA from 1 species